rnacentral:lncRNA from 1 species
GGUUUUCCUUCCCUCACAUUACUCCUGAUCCAGCUGGGCCAUCAGGAAGAAAGGGGGAUUGGAAAUGGACUUCUUGGAGGGUGGAGAUUCUUUUAAUUUUCUCCUCUCCGUUUCUUCUCCCCUCUUGGGUGGUAGAGAGAGAAGGAGGAGGGGGUUGAAUGGCUGCUGUGCUGUGAUGUUGCGGUUGCUGCUUGGGUACUCACUUGAAGGGGAGAUGGAGGGAUGGGGCUUUUAUUAAUUAGAUAGAGUCAAUUUCCCAUAAUGCCUCUACUUUCUCUUAUAGGGAAGCUCCUUUUUGGACAAAUUCUUUUCUUUACCUUGAUCAUGAAGUGCCAUGGAAUGACCUUUUCCUAUUCCACUCUUGUUUGACAUGAUAAACAAUAUUGCCAAGCAUUAUCUCAGUUAUUUAAUCAGUUUUAUGGCCCUUCUUUUAGGAUAAUUACUUUUCUGCAUUUCCAUUCAAAAAUAAUAUUAAAUUAAAAAGAUUUCUGGCCUAUCUUUGUUAGAUU